rnacentral:rRNA from 1 species
GACGAACGCUGGCGGCGUGCCUAAUACAUGCAAGUGGGACGCACAGUCUAUACCGUAGCUUGCUACACCAUAGGCUGUGAGUUGCGAACGGGUGAGUAACGCGUAGGUAACCUGCCUAUUAGAGGGGGAUAACUAUUGGAAACGAUAGCUAAUACCGCAUAACAGUAUGUAACACAUGUUAGAUGCUUGAAAGAUGCAAUUGCAUCGCUAGUAGAUGGACCUGCGUUGUAUUAGCUAGUAGGUAGGGUAAAGGCCUACCUAGGCAACGAUACAUAGCCGACCUGAGAGGGUGAUCGGCCACACUGGGACUGAGACACGGCCCAGACUCCUACGGGAGGCAGCAGUAGGGAAUCUUCGGCAAUGGGGGGAACCCUGACCGAGCAACGCCGCGUGAGUGAAGAAGGUUUUCGGAUUCGUAAAGCUUCUGUU